GACGUAGGGCGCGAGCGUUGUCCGGAUUUAUUGGGCGUAAAGAGCUCGUAGGCGGUGUGUCGCGUCGGCCGUGAAAACCUGCAGCUUAACUGUGGGCUUGCGGUCGAUACGGGCAUCACUGGAGUUCGGCAGGGGAGACUGGAAUUCCUGGUGUAGCGGUGAAAUGCGCAGAUAUCAGGAGGAACACCGGUGGCGAAGGCGGGUCUCUGGGCCGAUACUGACGCUGAGGAGCGAAAGCAUGGGGGAGCGAACAGG
rnacentral:rRNA from 1 species